AGUCAUCAACUUAACGGAUUCAAACAGACUCUGAAAACCAUGUUGGAUACUGUGAAAACAAUGGUCUUUUGUUUUACAUGUAAAAUGACAAGUUUUUUUUUUAAUUAACCUGAAGUAUUAUGAAAUUAUAAAAGGGUCCAUACUCUAAAUAGAUGUACAGUUCACAAAUGAAUUUUUUUCUUUCUGAUAUUCAAAUCUUUAUAUAUAAAGUUAACUUUGCAUCUUCUCCUGCCACUUGACUGUAGACUUUUACGAUACGUGUACACUUUCAAAAUCUACAUCUUUUGUUUUUUGGGCCUUUUUAUUACAACAUGCCCAAAUAUUACAAAGGUAAAAAAAAACAAUAUGAAACCCAUCAGACCCAACCAAUCCUACAAACAUAACUAAAUACAAAGUAACAGAUCCAACCAAAAAGAAGCCCAAGAAAGGAAACGGAUGAUGAGCCAGCUGAAGACCACAUGUGCGACGAAGAUGAAGAGGCAAAUGCAACAUUUAAUUUUUCAAGGAGACUCGGUGUACUGCUGCAAAAAUUAUAUACAGUAAACCAAAUGACCAUUUCAGUUUGACCAUUUUGAUACUCCAAAAAAAUGAUUUAUUUUUUCUCUUAGUCACAUAUCAAAGAAACUGAAAACUAUAACUUAAAAUGAUAAGUUGAUGAAUUUAGACACCAAAUGACUUAUUUGGCCUCUAAAUGAAUUCAAAAGACACCUCAAAAUCUUGAAUGUUUGUAAACAAGUAAAAUUAUGAGCAUAUCAGAUAUUCAUUAAAGCUAAUACUUUUUUAAAGACAGUAUGUUAAUAGUGUUCAGUGUUGUGAGUAUUAUAGCACAAAAUUUGCUGAAGUUUUCUACAUUCAUAACAAAAUGGUAUGACUAUAGAUGUCCAAUUUGAAAGUUGUUUAUGGAAAAAUUACUAAAAUGAGUGUUUUAGUGCCCCUAAUGAAAAUGACUUUAGGUUUUAGUGGCUAUGAAUAUGAAUCUGUUAGUUUACUUUAUUUUGCUAAGAGAAUCUGUUAGCUUACUUUUAUUCUUUUUAGCUACUUAUAUGCACCUCUAAUAUUUGUGAUGGACCAUUUCACCAAAUUUCUUGAAAUCAAAAGUAAAUUUGUGUUGGCUACAAAUCUAUAACAAUAAAUUAGAUUUCUCUCUUCUCCGUGCGCCAUAUCAUUCUUUUGCAUAGAGCUUUUUGUGACAUCUGGCAAAAAAGCUUAGGCAAUCAAAAUAUUUGGCAAAAAACACGUCAUUGUAGAGAUGUGUUUUCUCCUAGUAGAGAAAACGGUAGUCUAUCAUCUCGGUUCAUAUCCUUCUAGAUGGCUCUGCCCUUUCCUGUCACCUCCUUCAAAACUCCCUUUUUUAUUUGAUUUUCGUCAGGCCCUAACCAGAAAUCGAGCAAUAUAUCGGGUUUCCUUUUUAAAUCUAAUGCCCACCGCUCUACACUUCGUUCCGUCGAAACCCUUUCCAGUGUUUCUGUUUCGUUGUGUUAUCAUGAGAUUCAAGAGAUUGAAGGUAGACGACGAGAAGCUAAUGAAGAGCGACCUUAUAUGAUUCUAUGUCUACGAUGAGGAUGAGUUUGAUGACUCCAAAACAAAUAUGAAACAAACGAUGAUCUUUAUUGUUUACCGCCCAAGCUUCAAUCUUUGUUUUGUUUUGUGUUUUUUUUUUUUACUUUGCUACGCUACGCUCAUGGUGAUUAGUUCCUAACUGAUUGUGUUCUCUGUGAUUUAUCUGGAAAGGAUCUCACUUUGAGCAUGGACAUGCCCAUCUUUAUUAAAGGCCCUACUCAGAAUUAAAGUCUUGGACCCUUUUUUUUAAGGUAAAACAUUUGAGCUUUUUUUCUUAAGCUAAAAAUCCUCAAAAAGUUUGGGCCCUAGACCGGGCCUGACUUUGAGUAAUGGCUCCAGCAAAAGGUACAUCUUCUCUUUUGAUACUUGAUCUGGUUUCAAUAUGGGUACUCUACAUCGACUUAUAUUAGGCUAUUAAUCUCUCUUGCCUGUUCAGGUUAAUUUGAAAACUCCGUCUCUGAUUUUGAAUACUGUAAUCUUACUCUGUAAUUUGUUUUUAGUUUCCCCUUUCUCCCUGAAGUUUGAUUCCUAAGAUGCGUUUCGGUGAUCUGUGGACUCUCCAAGCUCGUUCGUUCUACAUCCCAUCAACUUAAUUUGUUUGAUUACUCACUUAUUCUAUAAAUUUUUUUUGGGUGUUUACUCUAGCGUUAUUGUUGUUGUUUUUGUUGACUAGAUUUUAGUUGCUAAUAAACAUACAUGUUUCUUUGUUGAUAUUGUCCUCCGACUUCUCUUUCAUCACAUUAUCUUAGUUAUUUCUUUAUCUACAA